CAAACAACAAAGAACCAGAGAAUCUUUGUAAAUUAGCAUAAAAAUCCAAGUCAGCUCAAGAUGCGAUGAUCAGUAACUGACACAGAGUCAAAGCAAGAAG